rnacentral:lncRNA from 1 species
ACGAAGGAGGGGAAAAGAGACCUCAGGCUCAGGGCCCAUCUAGAAGCCAGCUGAGUCAUUGCUCCUCCUGUUGGGUCAGAAACCACCUUCCACAAAAGGCUGGGAGAUGGCUGCCCUGGGCGUGGGCACGAGGCUUUGCAGGAGACACAUCUGCCCUGAGAGUCCCCAAGCCUGCUUGGCAGCCUCCUCUGGGUGCAAGACUCCCACACUGGUUUCCGGAGGCUGCAAGCUAGACGGCAGUCUUCCCCAAACACAUUGAAGGUAAAGAAAUGAUAAAGCCUCUCCCAUGAGCUGGGCACUCGGGACACAUCAGAGAAGACAAGGCCCCGCCCCCCUGGCUUACAAACCACCCAGGCAAUAAGAGAACAUGUGAUGGACACGGUCAAGGGACACAAGGGGGGUGACCACGAGCUGGUCAGGCAGCUUUUAGUCGGAGUCAACUUGUGGUUUGUGAAGACACGGGUGGACAUGGCCGUGGGGAAAGACCAGGAGGGAGGCACCGGGAAAGCUUAUUCCUGCUUCGGGGAACACUAUGAAGCUUGCAACUGCUGGCCGAGGGAGCUUCGGGGCCUGAGAAAGCUUGGAAAGAAGGCUAGUGCUGCCAUUGACAGUGACUGCCAGCAGGUAUGUCCCAUUAUCUCCCAGGGCCUCAGCUGUCUCCUCAGUGAACUGGGCAUAGUGAUGCCCACUUUGCAGAGAGGCAGUGAGGACUGAAGACCAUCACGUGAGUGCAGUGCCUCGCACACAGAGUCCUCCUCUCUCCUCCACCGCCCUUUCCCUCACUGUUUCAUGUUUCCGUCUAGGAAAACAGGUGAAUAAGAUCCUGUCCCUUAAAAAAGUUAGGCGACAGGGAAUUCCCGUCAUGGCUCAGGAGUUACAAACCUGACUAGGACCCAUGAGGAUGUGGGUUCGAUCCCUAGCCUCGCUCAGUGGGUUAAGGAUCUGGCGUUGCCGUGAGCUGUGGUGUAUGUCACAGAAGUAGCUCGGAUCCUGUGUGGCUGUGCCUGUGGGUGGCAGCUGCAGCUUUAAUUUGACCCCUAGCCUGAGAACUUCCAUAUGCUGCAGGUGCAGCCCUUAAAAAAAAAAGACCAAAAAAAAGAAAGAAAGAAAGAAAGAAAGAAACUUAGGUGACACAAUAGGGCCAAAGAAACACGUGGCUGGGGAGUUCAAGAUGUGGCUUUACCUCUCUGUCUCUUAAUGGAGGUAAUAACACCUACCCUUUCUCUCGAGUUUGUAGGAAGAUGAAAUAAGACAACUCCGGUAAAGC